rnacentral:rRNA from 1 species
GGGUCAGUAGGUUGGUCGUGCCACCGGUACGUACUGGUCUCACUGAUUCCUCCUUCCUGAAGAACCGUAAUGCCAUUAAUUUGGUGUUGCGGGGAAACAGGACUGUCACUUUGAAAAAAUUAUAGUGUUUAAAGCAAGCUAACGCUUGAAUACAUUAGCAUGGAAUAAUGAAAUAGGACGAUCGAUCCUAUUUUGUUGGUUUCUAGGAUUGACGUA